rnacentral:rRNA from 1 species
UACAGAGGGUGCGAGCGUUGUCCGGAAUCACUGGGCGUAAAGGGCGCGUAGGUGGCGGCCCAAGUCCAUGGUGAAAGCUCGAUGCUCAACAUCGAGUCGGCCACGGAUACUGGGUUGCUCGAGCACUGUAGGGGCAGAUGGAAUUCCGGGUGUAGCGGUGAAAUGCGCAGAGAUCGGGAGGAACACCCGUAGCGAAGGCGGCACUCUGGGCCGAUACUGACGCUGAGGAGCGAAAGCGUGGGGAGCAAACAGG